NGUGUACUCCCUCCGUUCCAAAAUACUUGACUUCCAUUUGUCCAAAAAUGGAUGUACCUAUAUACUAAGACAUGUCUAGAUACAUAUAUAUUUUGACAAAUAGAAGGCAUGUAUUGUGCAACGGAGGGAGUAGAAU
rnacentral:pre_miRNA from 1 species